rnacentral:rRNA from 1 species
GUGGGGAAUAUUGGACAAUGGGCGCAAGCCUGAUCCAGCCAUGCCGCGUGAGUGAUGAAGGCCUUAGGGUUGUAAAGCUCUUUCAGUGGGGACGAUAAUGACGGUACCCACAGAAGAAGCCCCGGCUAACUUCGUGCCAGCAGCCGCGGUAAUACGAAGGGGGCUAGCGUUGUUCGGAUUUACUGGGCGUAAAGCGCACGUAGGCGGAUCGUUAAGUCGGGGGUGAAAUCCUGGAGCUCAACUCCAGAACUGCCUUCGAUACUGGCGAUCUUGAGUCCGGAAGAGGUGAGUGGAACUCCUAGUGUAGAGGUGGAAUUCGUAGAUAUUCGGAAGAACACCAGUGGCGAAGGCGACUCACUGGCCCGUUACUGACGCUGAGGCGCGAAAGCGUGGGGAGCAAACAGGAUUAGAAACCCUUGUAGUCC